rnacentral:rRNA from 1 species
GACGAACGCUGGCGGCGUGCUUAACACAUGCAAGUCGAACGGUAAGGCCCUUCUUUGUACACGUGCUCCGAUGGCGAACGGAAGAGUAAGACGAGAUUCCCCUCACCUUGGCUUUAGCAUAACUUAAGGGGACUGAGACUGAUAAUGACUUGCUGCUCCUUCUUCGUGGGUGGGAAUAGAUAUUUGCGCCGGUUGGGGAUGGAGUCGCGGCUUAUCAGCUUGUUGGUGGGGUAGUGGCUUACCAAGGCGUUGACGGGUAGCCGGCCUGAGAGGGUGACCGGCCACAGUGGGACUGAGAUACGGCCCAGACUCCUACGGGAGGCAGCAGUGGGGAAUAUUGCACAAUGGGCGGAAGCCUGAUGCAGCAACGCCGCGUGCGGGAUGACGGCCUUCGGGUUGUAAACCGCUUUCGCCUGGGACGAAGCGCGAGUGACGGUAAUGGGUAAAGAAGCACCGGCUAACUACGUG